AGAGGCGCCAGGAGCAUGGUCCACACCCACCGCCUAGCCCGGAAGGGAGUGGGAGCAGGCAAGGAAACGCCCUUGAGAAGUGCUAUUUGAAAAAUGUAGCAAUGCCGCCACACAUAGGAACUCUCACAGGUGGUGGCUCCAUGCAGAGACCCAGACAAGAGGCAGCCAGCAUGGAUGGGGAGGGUUCUUGGGGCCCCGCCCCUAGCAGAGGAGCUUCAGGCAACUGAUGGCUGCCCUGCCAGUGGAUGGAGAAUCAGCUGGGAUCAUCCCAUACCUGUGCACAAACAGCAUCACUACGUGAACUCAGGGGGUUUCAGCAACGAGGAGCACCGGAGUGUGAAAGGGAAAAGUGGUGGGGAGUGAAUAAGAGGGAAAUUAGAAUGGGGUAGGCGUUGGAAUGAAGGCAAUGGUGGUGGGUUUUCAAAAUGCAUCAUAUACAUAUGAUGACUAUA
rnacentral:lncRNA from 1 species